rnacentral:rRNA from 1 species
GACGAACGCUGGCGGCGUGCCUAACACAUGCAAGUCGAACGGAAAGGCCCUGCUUGUGUGGUGUUCUCGAGUGGCGAACGGGUGAGUAACACGUGAGUAACCUGCCCUGGACUUUGGGAUAACUUCAGGAAACUGGGGCUAAUACCGGAUAGGAGCUCCUGCUGCAUGGUGUGGGGUGGAAAGUUUCGGCGGCUGGGGAUGGACGCGCGGCUUAUGAGCUUGUUGGUGGGGUAGUGGCUGCCCAAGGGUUUGACGGGUAGCCGGCCUGAGAGGGUGACCGGCCACAUUGGCCCUGAGGUACGGGCCAGACGGCUACGUGAGGCAGGGGUGGGAAACAUUGCACGCUGGGCGGAAGCAUGGUACAGCAUCGCCGCGUGGGGGAUGACUGUUUUUAGGUUGUAACCCGCUUUCGCGUGUGACGAAGAGUGAGUGACGGUAAUGGAUAAAGAAGCACCGGCUAACUACGUG